AACGAACGCUGGCGGCAUGCCUAACACAUGUAAGUCGAACGAGACCUUCGGGUCUAGUGGCGCACGGGUGCGUAACGCGUGGGAACCUGCCCUUAGGUUCGGAAUAACUCCCCGAAAGGGGUGCUAAUACCGGAUAAUGUCUUCGGACCAAAGAUUUAUCGCCUUUGGAUGGGCCCGCGUUGGAUUAGCUAGUUGGUAGGGUAAAAGCCUACCAAGGCGACGAUCCAUAGCUGGUCUGAGAGGAUGAUCAGCCACACUGGGACUGAGACACGGCCCAGGCUCCUACGGGAGGCAGCAGUGGGGAAUAUUGGACAAUGGGCGAAAGCCUGAUCCAGCAAUGCCGCGUGAGUGAUGAAGGCCUUAGGGUUGUAAAGCUCUUUUACCCGGGAUGAUAAUGACAGUACCGGGAGAAUAAGCUCCGGCUAACUCCGUG
rnacentral:rRNA from 1 species